UACGUAGGGUGCGAGCGUUGUCCGGAAUUAUUGGGCGUAAAGGGCUCGUAGGCGGUUUGUCGCGUCGGGAGUGAAAACCAUGAGCUUAACUCAUGGCUUGCUUUCGAUACGGGCAGACUAGAGGUAUGCAGGGGAGAACGGAAUUCCUGGUGUAGCGGUGAAAUGCGCAGAUAUCAGGAGGAACACCGGUGGCGAAGGCGGCUCUCUGGGCAUUACCUGACGCUGAGGAGCGAAAGUGUGGGGAUCAAACAGG
rnacentral:rRNA from 1 species